rnacentral:lncRNA from 12 species
GGGACUUGAUCACAAAGGUGAUUAAUGCUUUUCAUCUCCUUGCAGCCCAUGACGCUGGAUGUAGGCGAGGAACUUAAUCUCUGCAUCCGCUUCAACCCAGCUUAUGAGAAGGAUUUGCACAGCCGGGUGGCAGAGAGGGUGCUCAGGAUGUGCUUCAUGGAACAUCCUCACGAGGAGCAGAUGACUGUGCGGGGAGAAGUCUACUUCCCCAACCUCGAUCUGGAGUCCGAGUUCGUGGACUUUGGCUGCAUCAUCAAUGACACCGAACAAGAGCUGCACAUGGAGAUGACCAACUGCGGCCCAAUUGCUGCCGAGUACCACUGGUCACUGCUGACAGACCGCCAGCUGAACACCAUAAGGUUCAAGCCUUCGCCACCUAAGUUCAAACGCCAGUCAUCCAAGAAGGAGGGAGGCUUUCUGAGGAGAUACUCCAAGGCUGAAAGUGUGGAGGAGCCGACCAAAACCCCAAAAACAGUACAGUGCUCUGCCCAGAAGCCAGCAGAUGCAGAGGACUCCCCGGAAGCAGAGGCGCUGCCAUCCCCUGCUGUGGAGCCUCAGAGGCCGGUGAGGAAGAGAGCGUGGCGCCACUUCCCAGAGGUGCAGCGCCCCAAGCCUGGCAUGCAGGAGGUUUUUGAUGUCCGGCCCCUGUGGGGUGAGCUGCAGCCGGGAGAGAGCCACACGGUCACCUUCACCUUCUUCGGCUACGCCAACAUCGUCGCCCGUGUCACGGCGCUGUGCCACGUGCAGGGAGGCCCCACCUACCGGGUAGUGGUGGCUGGGGGGGCUUCGCCCGUGUCUACCAACUGGAUGUGGAAGAGAUGGACUGAGGGCCUCAGUGCUGAUGACGACCUCUUGAAAUCAGAUGAGGAUACCGAAACCGAAUCAUCCAAAUAUUCUUCAGAAGACAACGCUUGACAAGUUCAGUCCCAAAAUUCUUUCAGGAGCUCGGAAGCCCUGCACGAGGAAGUUUUUCUACGCAAAGCCAGUGGAUGAUUUGACAUGUGACAACAUGGAAAUUCAUUUACUCUGAAGGACUCAAGGAAUGAACUGAAGAACCUACCGUGUGAUAAGAACCUUGAGGAUUGGCAUUGGCAUACUUUGUUUACCAAUAAAGCAGGGAAAAGAAUGUCUUACGUGCAG